rnacentral:rRNA from 1 species
UACGUAGGGAGCGAGCGUUGUCCGGAUUUAUUGGGCGUAAAGCGCGUGUAGGCGGCUCGGUAAGUCCGGUGUGAAACCUUGGGGCUCAACCCCAAGCCUGCACUGGAUACUGUCGAGCUUGAGUCCGGGAGGGGAGAGCGGAAUUCCUAGUGUAGCGGUGAAAUGCGCAGAUAUUAGGAAGAACACCGGUGGCGAAGGCGGCUCUCUGGAACGGUACUGACGCUGAGACGCGAAAGCGUGGGGAGCGAACAGG